UCUGUGGCUCAAUUGGAUAGAGCAUCGGACUUCGGUUCCGAUGGUUGGAGGUUCGAGUCCUCUCAGA
rnacentral:tRNA from 1 species